rnacentral:sRNA from 1 species
CGGAGGUAGAGGGAGGACACAGAGCCGCGCCGCCCGCACCGGAGACCUUCGCCUCGCCCCGCCGGUUCCUCACCCUCGGGGAGCAACAUGGCAGAUAAUCUCAGUGAUACCUUGAAGAAGCUGAAGAUAACAGCUGUUGACAAGACUGAGGAUAGUUUAGAAGGAUGCUUGGAUUGUCUGCUUCAAGCCCUGGCUCAAAAUAAUACGGAAACAAGUGAAAAAAUCCAAGCAAGUGGAAUACUUCAGCUGUUUGCAAGUCUGUUGACUCCACAGUCUUCCUGCAAAGCCAAAGUAGCUAACAUCAUAGCAGAAGUAGCCAAAAAUGGUGAGGUUUACCUCAACAACUUUUCUGCUGGGAACAUCUUCAGUUUUACAUCUUACUUAGUUUAUGCGAAUUCCAUGUGUGGAUGCUGGAUUGAUUUCACCACUGGUGCAGCUGCUAAAUAGCAAAGACCAGGAAGUGCUGCUUCAAACGGGCAGGGCUCUAGGAAACAUA